rnacentral:rRNA from 1 species
GACGAACGCUGGCGGCGUGCUUAACACAUGCAAGUCGAACGGAAAGGCCUGUCCUUCCUUGUGUUGGACGGGUACUCGAGUGGCGAACGGGUGAGUAACACGUGAGUGAUCUGCCCCCAACUUGGGUAUAAGCCUGGGAAACUGGGUCUAAUUCCCGAUAGGACUGCAGGGUGGUGCCUGUGGUGGAAAACGAUUUUCUAGUGGUUGGGGAUGAGCUCGCGGCCUAUCAGCUUGUUGGUGGGGUAACGGCCUACCAAGGCGGCGACGGGUAGCCGGCCUGAGAGGGUGGACGGCCACAUUGGGACUGAGAUACGGCCCAGACUCCUACGGGAGGCAGCAGUGGGGAAUAUUGCACAAUGGGCGGAAGCCUGAUGCAGCGACGCCGCGUGGGGGAUGACGGCCUUCGGGUUGUAAACUCCUUUCGACCGCGAGGAAGCCGCCUGGUUGGAAGGGUGGUGACGGUAGUGGUAGAAGAAGCACCGGCUAACUACGUG